rnacentral:rRNA from 1 species
UACGUAGGGACCGAGCGUUGUCCGGAUUCAUUGGGCGUAAAGAGCUCGUAGGCGGCCACUCAAGUCGAAUGUGAAACCUCGAGGCUUAACCUCGAGCCUGCAUUCGAUACUGGGCGGCUAGAGUCUGGUAGGGGGAUCUGGAAUUCCUGGUGUAGCGGUGAAAUGCGCAGAUAUCAGGAGGAACACCGAUGGCGAAGGCAGGUCUCUGGGCAUUAACUGACGCUGAGGAGCGAAAGCAUGGGGAGCGAACAGG